GAAGGCUUACAGUGACCAUGUAACACCUAGUGUUAUUCCAACAUCCAUGUGUUUUGAGGCAGCCGUGUUGAGAGAUCGGCAGAGGAGAUGAGCGGAUGCAGGGAAACCCACAUGGCUCAUCCACCCCACAAUCCACCUUUGUGCAGAGAGGGGGUCGGCAAGUGUCCUUGAGCGUGGCUCGGCCUCGUUCUCCAUUGACGGCUAAUAGCCACUAAAGAUCUUGUUGCCAUGGGGCUGAGAUACAUCCAGAGGUUUGAGCUGAGAAAUUCUGCUCCAGGUUGAAGAAAUACCUGACAGUCACGUCUCUUUCUCCCUCCCUCUCCGGAAAGCUGCAUUGGGGCCAACUCCAUCCCGGACCAGAUGUUCUGCAUCCCGCACAUAGCUUUUGGCGAAAGCGAGUAAUCUCUAACCAGUGGGAUUAGUGCUCUGUCCGGUCUUUAAACGUCCACAGCAGGAUGCGAGCCCCCAAACUCCCCGACAGCGCUGUCCAGAUGCACAAGGAGGACUCAAAGAGGCUGGUAUCCAUUCCUGGGAUGUUUUAGAGAUGUCCGCCAUGGAGCCAUGAGCGUAGAGCAGUAGCCGGCCAUGGAUGGGAUCCAGCUUCGAGUAAGGCUUGACAA